rnacentral:rRNA from 1 species
AGCAGUAGCCGCGGUAAUACGUAGGUGGCAAGCGUUGUCCGGAAUUAUUGGGCGUAAAGCGCGCGCAGACGGUUUCUUAAGUCUGAUGUGAAAGCCCCCGGCUUAACCGGGGAGGGUCAUUGGAAACUGGGAGACUUAGAGUGCAGAAGAGGAGAGUGGAAUUCCAUGCGUAGCGAUGAAAUGCGUAGAUAUAUGGAGGAACACCAGUAGCGAAGGCGACUCUCUGAUCUGUAACUGACGCUGAGGCGCGAAAGCGUGGGGAGCAAACAGGAUUAGAUACCCCCGUAGUCCCUGUCUCUUAUA